rnacentral:rRNA from 1 species
GACGAACGCUGGCGGCGUGCUUAACACAUGCAAGUUGAACGGAGGUUUUGUUUUCGGACGAAACCUUAGUAGCGGACGGGUGAGUAACGCGUGAGUAACCUACCUUUGUGAGGGGGACAACAGCUGGAAACGGCUGCUAAUACCGCAUAAGGCCACGACCUCGAGUGAGGAUGUGGUAAAAGAUUUAUCGCACAAAGAUGGACUCGCGUCCCAUUAGCUAGUUGGUGAGGUAACGGCUCACCAAGGCGACGAUGGGUAGCCGACCUGAGAGGGUGAUCGGCCACACUGGAACUGAGACACGGUCCAGACUCCUACGGGAGGCAGCAGUGGGGAAUAUUGGGCAAUGGGCGCAAGCCUGACCCAGCAACGCCGCGUGAGGGAAGAAGGUCUUCGGAUUGUAAACCUCUGUCCUUGGGGACGAAAAAAAUGACGGUACCCAAGGAGGAAGCUCCGGCUAACUACGUG